AAGAGCACCCAUAAUCAUGAAAUUCUUCAAAGAGUAGCAAAGCAUAUUACAACCCAUCUUAACACGCAAUUUCUUAUUUUGCACCUCCCCCGUCAUUUUUUAAGAUGUGGGAAACAGGCAUACAAAUCAGACUUAGGGUGUUUAGCUUCAGCAUGCUCUCGACACUUCACCUCAGUCGUGGUACACAUGAAAGUCUGCAUGCAAACCUUGCA
rnacentral:misc_RNA from 1 species